UGCCAGCCGCCGCGGUAUUACGGAGGGAGCGAGCGUUAAUCGGAAUUACUGGGCGUAAAGCGCGCGUAGGCGGCUUUGUAAGUCGGAUGUGAAAGCCCAGGGCUACAACCCUGGAAUUGCAUUCGAUACUGCAUGGCUAGAGUAUGGUAGAGGGAAGUGGAAUUUCCGGUGUAGCGGUGAAAUGCGUAGAUAUCAGGAGGAACACCGAUGGCGAAGGCGACUUCCUGGCCCAAUACUGACGCUAAGGUGCGAAAGCGUGGGUAGCGAACAGGAUUAGAUA
rnacentral:rRNA from 1 species